GUUCGGAGGCCGCAGCGGCGCCUGAGGGAGCUCGGCCGCCAUUUUGUGCCUCUCGCUCGGUCCGGGGCGGCCGCGCGGUCGCUGCGGUUCUGAGGGAACGCUCGGCUCUCCUGCCUUGUCGGUCGGGGUGACGCCGCCAUGGGCCGUAAGAAGAAGAAGCAGCUGAAGCCUUGGUGCUGGUACUGUAAUAGGGAUUUUGAUGAUGAAAAAAUCCUUAUACAGCAUCAAAAAGCAAAGCACUUUAAAUGCCAUAUAUGUCAUAAGAAACUGUAUACAGGACCUGGUUUAGCUAUACACUGCAUGCAGGUACAUAAAGAAACAAUAGAUGCUGUUCCAAAUGCUAUUCCCGGAAGAACAGACAUUGAACUGGAAAUCUAUGGAAUGGAAGGCAUUCCAGAAAAAGACAUGGAGGAACGGAGGAGGUUACUUGAACAAAAAACUCAGGAGAGCCAGAAAAAGAAACAACAGGAUGAUUCUGAUGAGUAUGAAGAUGAUGAAUCUGCAGCUUCAACUUCAUUUCAACCCCAGCAAGUUCAGCCACAGCAGGGGUACAUUCCCCCAAUGGCACAGCCAGGUUUGCCUCCUGUGCCAGGUGCACCAGGGAUGCCUCCAGGUAUACCCCCAUUAAUGGCAGGUGUUCCGCCUAUGAUGCCUGGAAUGCCUCCAGUUAUGCCUGGAAUGCCACCUGGAUUACAUCAACAGAGAAAAUACAUGCAGUCAUUUUGUGGUGGAAACAUGAUGAUGCCAAUGGGUGGAAUGAUGCCUCCUGGUCCAGGAAUCCCACCUCUUAUGCCUGGUAUGCCACCAGGUAGGUCAGGGUUGUCGAACUCGUACUAUGGGAUGCCCCCUCCUGUUGGGCCUCGGCCUGGCAUGCCUCCAAUGACACAAGCACAGCCUGUUACAGCCCCGGGCAUUCUGAACCGGCCUCCAGCUCCUGCUGCAACAGCACCAACUCCACAGCCUCCAGUUACUAAACCACUCUUCCCAAGUGCAGGGCAGAUGGGGACACCUGUCACAAGCUCAAGUGCAGCUUCCUCCAAUUCAGAAAGUCUCUCAGCAUCUUCUAACGCUCUGUUUCCUAGCACAGCACAAGCUGCAGCAGCUGUGCCAGGGCCAGUUGGUACUGAUUUCAAACCUUUGAAUUCUACACCUGCGACAACAACGGAACCCCCCAAACCAACAUUCCCGGCUUACACACAGUCUACAGCCUCAACCACUAGCACGACAAACAGCACUGCAGCUAAACCAGCUACAUCUAUCACAAGUAAGCCUGCUACCCUCACAACAACCAGUGCAACCAGUAAGUUGAUCCAUCCAGAUGAGGAUAUAUCACUGGAAGAGAGAAGGGCACAGUUGCCUAAAUACCAGCGCAAUCUUCCUCGACCAGGCCAGGCUGCCCUGGGUAAUCCCCCAGUUGGACCAAUUGGAGGUAUGAUGCCACCACAGCCAGGAAUUCCUCCACAACAACAAGGAAUGAGACCUCCCAUGCCACCUCAUGGUCAGUAUGGUGCUCAUCACCAGGGCAUGCCAGGAUAUCUUCCUGGAGCAAUGCCUCCAUACGGUCAGGGACCUCCGAUGGUGCCCCCGUACCAGAGUGGACCUCCUCGCCCUCCGAUGGGAAUGAGACCGCCCGUAAUGUCGCAAGGUGGCCGCUACUGAUGCUCCUACUCACGCUCUAAUAGGUUUUUAGAAGUGAAGUAUAGUAAAUAUGGUUCGUUAAAUUGUGAAGGCGCUGGAAUUACAUGAACAUACCACCUUAAAGCCCUGCCAUAGGACAGGCUGAGGCAGAGUCUCAGUGUUGCCCUGUUCAGUCUGAGGCAAGUGGGAUUUAUUUUAUUCAUUCUGGGGGCUUUCACAGCUUUAUGGCUGUUGGAUAUUUAUGUCCCCAAACUUGCAGCAAGUUUGGUGAAGGCCCCUAAAUUUAUUUUAAUUUAGGUUUUUUAUUCUCUUUUGGUAGAUGGGCUCUAUAUUAAUAUUUAUCUUUUUAUUAUCACUGUGUUUUUAAGAGUCUUAAGGGGGGGAACCUGUUUUAAGAUGUGUGGGUACCUUUUCUCUUAAUGGAAUGCGUUUCCUUCAAGGCUGCUCAAGUAGUCCUUAAGACACUGCCCCUCCCCAUCUUUCCCUGCAUUGCAUUUGUGCUGUAUUUGGUUUUGGGUUUGGUAGUGUUCAUUUUGUGUAGUCUCUGAAUUAGUGGCAUGUAAAUACCAAUUAUUGAUGUUUUCUCUUCUGAGGAUAUGUAUCUAUUUAAAAGCUUAAAAUAGAUUUGAACUAGUAAGUUAAUUGCUACAAAAAAUUUGUAGCCCAAAUUACAGAAUACAGUUUCUUUGAAGAAGGUUAAGAUGUUAAUACUGCUGUGUUUGUGAGCUGCACCUCAACAAAUAUUAAUGUAGAGCCCUGCGAAGAAAUAGAGAUCAGAUCCUUGUUGGUAACACAGAAUAGAAGAGCGAGAAAUCAAAGCUGCAGAUUUUUCAGCUUGCCAGUUUCAGGGAGAACCUUUUCCUCGGUCUCUUUUUCCUCAGUUCAGGGAGAACUUCUUCCUCCAUCUCAAUUACGUCAAAUUUGAAAAUGUUUUGACUCUUGCAACAAUAGUAAGAGUUGAAAAACUUUCUUUUAAACCAUGUGAGAUUCUGUUGCAUAUUCAGAAUUAGCUUUACUUGACGUUCCUUCCUUCACGCAGUGCCUAGCAAAAAGUUCUGCCCUUUGUGAAGAAAAAGGUGCUCAUUCUGUUGCAGAUCCAUUGUUUGUGAAUGCUUGAGGUUGCUUAAGGAAAAGUUCAGAACAGCCAGUUUUGUAGAAUACCAGCAGUGAAAUAGUAAAUAAACAAAUGUGGGAAUCUGGUUUGACUUUUUUUUUUAAAGUUUUUGAGAUAUUUUUCAAGUUCGUGGUGAGGCUUUUUUAUGAGCAUAGUUGUUUAUUUCUUCAAGAUUUUGUUUAAUGAUGACCCCUAAUGGGAUUUCAAGUAAUUUUAAUUCAAGGAUGGAGUUGUACAUUGCUGUUGUACCCUUCUUUGUUUGUACUCUGCCCUUUGCAUUUUUCCUGUAGAAGCCCCCCCCCAAAUCCUUGUCUGACUGGAAAAUUGACAUGUCCAUGAUAACUGUUUCAGAAUGGUUAUUGAGCAUGGUCUUGCUUUGCUAAUUCUCAUUGUGGUGCUCCCUCUGAUAACAGUGAAGAUGAGAACAACUCUUCAAGAUAAACUACUGCAGCUAGUACUUCUUUCACUUGCUUAAUUUAUAGGACCAUUUGGCUUAGUUAUUUUUUCCCUAGAAUGUCUAAGGAAACUGUUUAACUCAAAAUAAUACAUUGUGGGGCUUGUACUUCUUGCUUAAAGUAUCUGAAUUUCUUAGAGUCUCAAAAUAAAAAACAGGCAAUUUUGAAAUGCCUCUUUAUUUUGAGGGAUGAAGUGUGCUGUUAGUUACAUUCCAGUAUUUCAGCUCUCAUUGCAGCAAUUUGUGUUUCACAAAGUUGAACAUCUUGCUCUUAGUGAAAUUUCUUUCCUAAAGGUAACAGUAUUUCAGUCAUGUGACUUUUAUAGAUAUUAACAAAAUGAGGUCUUGGAAUUCAGGUAUUUUUAAGCUUAAGUGGGGGCACAUAACUUUUUUUAAGGAGCAGGGGUUACUGAUACUCUGCUAAAUUGGGUAAAUUUGCACCUGAUCUAUUAAACAAGAAAAGUAACUUGGAGAUGUGGUAAAUAAGGUACAUACCACACAUGGAGAAUUUUUAAAAAAUCUGUAUGCUUGCAAUCAAAAUAAUCAGACGAGGGAAACAGUGGUAGUGGCUGGGUUCUGUGAGAAUGCAGCUGCCUGUGACUGCUCUUCUGUCUGUCAUGGUUGGGCUAAGUUGGAAGUAGUUCAGAGGAAAGAAGAGUUUUGGGACAGCCAUUUAAGGGAUCAAGAGGAAUCAAAGUGUUUGUAAAGUGUAAUGUAUAUAAAAGUUCUUUCUGAAGUUCUGAAAAACACUUGGUGAGAGGUUUCUGGCACACUGUGAGCAGCAGCUUAGUGCAGUCUCUAUUGCCAGAGCACAGAUUCCCAGUAAGGCUCUGUUAAAGGAAACGCAAUUUUACUGCACUCUUGUGAAGGUGUGG